rnacentral:rRNA from 1 species
CCUACGGGUGGCUGCAGUGGGGAAUUUUCCGCAAUGGGCGAAAGCCUGACGGAGCAAUGCCGCGUGGAGGUAGAAGGCCCACGGGUCGUAAACUCCUUUUCUCAGAGAAGAAGCAAUGACGGUAUCUGAGGAAUAAGCAUCGGCUAACUCUGUGCCAGCAGCCGCGGUAAGACAGAGGAUGCAAGCGUUAUCCGGAAUGAUUGGGCGUAAAGCGUCUGUAGGUGGCUUUUUAAGUUUGCCGUCAAAUCCCAGGGCUUAACCCUGGACAGGCGGUG